GGAUUCGGUGCAUUCCUAAUAGUCAUAAUUAUGAGAUAAUAAUGUUUCUAGAACUUAAUAACUGCAUUACUUCUCGCCAGAAUUGACCUUUUUCCCAUAAAGGAUGUGAAAUAAUAGAGAAUCUUCUUGUUCUUUAGCUUUCUCAGGCUCCACCCAAUUCUGUGAUUUGUGCUCGUCCCUCUCAGAUUGGGGAGAGAUCGGACAGUGAAUGUUCAGAAAAAUUAUCACCAGACUCAAUUGAUUCUCCGACCCCUGCUAUUCCCUCUAUUCCAAUUGAGGAUUUCCAGUUCUGCGAGUGGCUUGGCAGUGGAAGCUUUGGACAAGUCUUUAAGGCAGUACAUAAAAAGUCUGGAAAAACGGUCGCCAUCAAAAAGAUGGAAAAGAAAAAUAUUUUGCAAAGUCAUAUGAUUAACAGACUUUACCUGGAAAGGGACAUAUUAAGGCUGGUGAGGAUUAGAAGGAACCCUUUCCUGGUGAGCUUAUUCUGCUCCUUCCAGAGAGAACACCAUGUAUACAUAGCCAUGGAGUUUGCUGCUGGAGGAAAUUUGGAAUCCCGGUUGAAGAACGGAGCACUGCCCCCAAGCGACACUUUAUUCUAUGCCGCCUGCAUCGUCCUUGGGAUUAAGUUUUUACAUGAAUAUCGCAUCGUCCACCGGUAAGAGAAUUAAAAAGGGAAUUUAAUUUUCAGGGGUUAUAUUUUUUUAUAUUUUUAUUAUGAGGCAGAAUAAAGUGGCCUCUUACAGGUGCGGAAAGGAGGGUUCUGAAUUCUAGGUCAAUAUUAGAUAUGGCCUAUAUAUAAGGAUGGGGGGUCAUUCUCUAGUUCUCUGUUCAGAAACCAAAGGCUUUGCUGAUCAUGUUAUUUCUUUCCCUCCAGAGAUUUAAAGCCUGCAAAUAUUGUCCUAGACAGUGAUGGAUAUGCCAAAAUUGCAGAUUUUGGGUUGUGCAAAGCAGGUAUUGGCUACAGAGAUGAAAUGACCUACCCAUGUGGAACGGAGUGUUACUGGGCUCCAGAAAUGUUUGCAGAAAGAAACUACAGGAGAAGCGUGGACUGGUGGGCUUUAGGCAUAAUCAUCUAUAAAAUGGCCGUUGGCUACGUGAGUAUAAAGCCGUCACUAAUAAUCCCAUUAGGUUCUACAAUGCUGUCUAUUUACUUUAUUCUAUUGAAGAGACUCAAAUUGUAAAGAUCUCACUCUGCUCCAUCACCCGCCCAGACCCGCUCCCUGCUUGAAAUAUUGGCUCUGCCGGGUGAAGGAAACAGUGGGCACGGGGGUCCCGAGGGGGUUUGUGGCUGGAGGGGGCACAGAAUACUUUUUGACUGGGGGCCCAGAGGUUUUUUUAUUGGGUUCCUGAAGCAACAGGACCAGUGGUUUCUGGGUCCGCCAGUCCAAUGUUGUGUUCCAGUGAAAUAUUCCAUAAAAUCUCUUUCAAUUUCCCAGACAAAUUGCCAUUAGAAUUUCACUAAUAACAACUCCUGCCCCGGAGUAAUACCGUCGUUCUUUUCUCAGAAUACCCGAGUUCCUGACUUGAUAUCUUUCUAUUUUUGCAGGUGCCUUUUACCGGAAAUAAUUUUAGAGAAUUGCGGGAAAAGGUCUUCUAUGAAGAACCCGAACUUCCAGCCAAUCUGGAUAAUGAAACCAGUAUGGUGAUAAAACUGCUCUUAGACAAAGACUGUAUAAGCCGGCUCGGAUCACUUAGAAACGAUGGAGAAGAAGUGAUGAAUUGUAGCUACUUUGAUCCAAUAAUGUGGGAAGCUCUUAUGGCCAAGCAAGUGCGAGCCCCAUUCAUCCCUAGCCCGGAUGAUACUAGAGAAGAGGACAGUGAGGGGGG